rnacentral:rRNA from 1 species
GACGAACCGUGCAAACGUUAUUCGGAAUCACUGGGCUUAAAGGGCGCGUAGGCGGGCUGGAUAGUCUGUGGUGAAAUCCCCCAGCUUAACUGGGGAACUGCCAUGGAUACUGCCAGUCUCGAGGAGGGUAGGGGCAUCUGGAACAGCCGGUGGAGCGGUGAAAUGCGUUGAUAUCGGCUGGAACUCCGGUGGCGAAGGCGAGAUGCUGGACCCUUUCUGACGCUGAGGCGCGAAAGCCAGGGGAGCGAACGGG